GAGGGGUAGCAGGAUCUAGCAAUAGAUUGCUGACGACCGGCGCACGGGUGAGUAACACGUAUCCAACCUUCCGUUUACUCGGGGAUAGCCUUUCGAAAGAAAGAUUAAUACCCGAUAGUAUGCUUUUCCCGCAUGGGAGAAUCAUUAAAGUUUUUCGGUAAUCGAUGGGGAUGCGUUCCAUUAGGCAGUUGGUGAGGUAACGGCUCACCAAACCUUCGAUGGAUAGGGGUUCUGAGAGGAAGGUCCCCCACAUUGGAACUGAGACACGGUCCAAACUCCUACGGGAGGCAGCAGUGAGGAAUAUUGGUCAAUGGACGAGAGUCUGAACCAGCCAAGUAGCGUGAAGGAUGACUGCCCUAUGGGUUGUAAACUUCUUUUAUAUGGGAAUAAAGGAGCCUACGUGUAGGUUUUUGUAUGUACCAUACGAAUAAGGAUCGGCUAACUCCGUGCCAGCAACCGCGGUAAUACGGAGGAUCCAAGCGUUAUCCGGAUUUAUUGGGUUUAAAGGGAGCGUAGGUGGAGGCUUAAGUCAGUUGUGAAAGUUUGCGGCUCAACCGUAAAAUUGCAGUUGAUACUGGGUUUCUUGAGUACAGUAGAGGUGGGCGGAA
rnacentral:rRNA from 1 species